rnacentral:rRNA from 1 species
GGGUUGUGAGGUUAAGCGACUAAGCGUACACGGUGGAUGCCCUGGCAGUCAGAGGCGAUGAAGGACGUGCUAAUCUGCGAAAAGCGUCGGUAAGGUGAUAUGAACCGUUACAGCCGGCGAUGUCCGAAUGGGGAAACCCAGUGCAAUUCGUUGCACUAUCGUUAACUGAAUACAUAGGUUAACGAGGCGAACCGGGGGAACUGAAACAUCUAAGUACCCCGAGGAAAAGAAAUCAACCGAGAUUCCCCCAGUAGCGGCGAGCGAACGGGGAGCAGCCCAGAGUCUGAAUCAGCUUGUGUGUUAGUGGAACGGUCUGGAAAGUCCGACGGUACAGGGUGAUAGUCCCGUACACCAAAAUGCACAGGCUGUGAACUCGAAGAGUAGGGCGGGACACGUGGUAUCCUGUCUGAAUAUGGGGGGACCAUCCUCCAAGGCUAAAUACUCCUGACUGACCGAUAGUGAACCAGUACCGUGAGGGAAAGGCGAAAAGAACCCCGGCGAGGGGAGUGAAAAAGAACCUGAAACCGUGUACGUACAAGCAGUGGGAGCACCCUUUAGGGUGUGACUGCGUACCUUUUGUAUAAUGGGUCAGCGACUUAUAUUCUGUAGCAAGGUUAACCGUAUAGGGGAGCCGCAGGGAAACCGAGUCUUAACUGGGCGUUAAGUUGCAGGGUAUAGACCCGAAACCCGGUGAUCUAGCCAUGGGCAGGUUGAAGGUUGGGUAACACUAACUGGAGGACCGAACCGACUAAUGUUGAAAAAUUAGCGGAUGACUUGUGGCUGGGGGUGAAAGGCCAAUCAAACCGGGAGAUAGCUGGUUCUCCCCGAAAGCUAUUUAGGUAGCGCCUCGUGAACUCAUCUUCGGGGGUAGAGCACUGUUUCGGCUAGGGGGUCAUCCCGACUUACCAACCCGAUGCAAACUACGAAUACCGAAGAAUGUUAUCACGGGAGACACACGGCGGGUGCUAACGUCCGUCGUGAAGAGGGAAACAACCCAGACCGCCAGCUAAGGUCCCAAAGUCACAGUUAAGUGGGAAACGAUGUGGGAAGGCACAGACAGCCAGGAUGUUGGCUUAGAAGCAGCCAUCAUUUAAAGAAAGCGUAAUAGCUCACUGGUCGAGUCGGCCUGCGCGGAAGAUGUAACGGGGCUAAACUGUGCACCGAAGCUGCGGCAGCGACACUAUGUGUUGUUGGGUAGGGGAGCGUUCUGUAAGCCUGCGAAGGUGGCCUGUGAGGGUUGCUGGAGGUAUCAGAAGUGCGAAUGCUGACAUAAGUAACGAUAAUGCGGGUGAAAAGCCCGCACGCCGGAAGACCAAGGGUUCCUGUCCAACGUUAAUCGGGGCAGGGUGAGUCGACCCCUAAGGCGAGGCCGAAAGGCGUAGUCGAUGGGAAACAGGUUAAUAUUCCUGUACUUGGUGUUACUGCGAAGGGGGGACGGAGAAGGCUAUGUUAGCCGGGCGACGGUUGUCCCGGUUUAAGCAUGUAGGCGGAGGUUCCAGGUAAAUCCGGUACCUUAUUAACGCUGAGGUGUGAUGACGAGGCACUACGGUGCUGAAGUAACAAAUGCCCUGCUUCCAGGAAAAGCCUCUAAGCAUCAGGUAACAUUAAAUCGUACCCCAAACCGACACAGGUGGUCAGGUAGAGAAUACCAAGGCGCUUGAGAGAACUCGGGUGAAGGAACUAGGCAAAAUGGUGCCGUAACUUCGGGAGAAGGCACGCUGAUAUGUAGGUGAAGUCCCUGCGGAUGGAGCUGAAAUCAGUCGAAGAUACCAGCUGGCUGCAACUGUUUAUUAAAAACACAGCACUGUGCAAACACGAAAGUGGACGUAUACGGUGUGACGCCUGCCCGGUGCCGGAAGGUUAAUUGAUGGGGUUAUCCGUAAGGAGAAGCUCUUGAUCGAAGCCCCGGUAAACGGCGGCCGUAACUAUAACGGUCCUAAGGUAGCGAAAUUCCUUGUCGGGUAAGUUCCGACCUGCACGAAUGGCGUAAUGAUGGCCAGGCUGUCUCCACCCGAGACUCAGUGAAAUUGAACUCGCUGUGAAGAUGCAGUGUACCCGCGGCAAGACGGAAAGACCCCGUGAACCUUUACUAUAGCUUGACACUGAACAUUGAGCCUUGAUGUGUAGGAUAGGUGGGAGGCUUUGAAGCGUGGACGCCAGUCUGCGUGGAGCCAACCUUGAAAUACCACCCUUUAAUGUUUGAUGUUCUAACGUUGGCCCCUAAUCGGGGUUGCGGACAGUGUCUGGUGGGUAGUUUGACUGGGGCGGUCUCCUCCCAAAGAGUAACGGAGGAGCACGAAGGUUAGCUAAUCCUGGUCGGACAUCAGGAGGUUAGUGCAAUGGCAUAAGCUAGCUUGACUGCGAGCGUGACGGCGCGAGCAGGUGCGAAAGCAGGUCAUAGUGAUCCGGUGGUUCUGAAUGGAAGGGCCAUCGCUCAACGGAUAAAAGGUACUCCGGGGAUAACAGGCUGAUACCGCCCAAGAGUUCAUAUCGACGGCGGUGUUUGGCACCUCGAUGUCGGCUCAUCACAUCCUGGGGCUGAAGUAGGUCCCAAGGGUAUGGCUGUUCGCCAUUUAAAGUGGUACGCGAGCUGGGUUUAGAACGUCGUGAGACAGUUCGGUCCCUAUCUGCCGUGGGCGCUGGAGAAUUGAGGGGGGCUGCUCCUAGUACGAGAGGACCGGAGUGGACGCAUCACUGGUGUUCGGGUUGUCAUGCCAAUGGCAUUGCCCGGUAGCUAAAUGCGGAAGAGAUAAGUGCUGAAAGCAUCUAAGCACGAAACUUGCCCCGAGAUGAGUUCUCCCUGAGACUUUAAGUCUCCUGAAGGAACGUUAAAGACGAUGACGUUGAUAGGUCGGGUGUGUAAGCGUAGCGAUACGUUGAGCUAACCGAUACUAAUGAACCGUGAGGCUUAACCUUACAACGCCGAAGGUGUUU